CAUUAACAAAUCCGAUAAUGGGUUGUGGGGUUAUACCUAUAGUCCAAUAUUUAACCGCUAGUUUCCGUCAUUGGGACUAGUUGGAUAUAUAUGCGUGAAUGUAGACAGUGUGUGACCGAAAAUUUAUUGACAACUUUUAACAAUGGAUCUCUAGGCUCUUGCAGCGAUGAAGAACGCAGCAAAAUGCGAAACGUGAUGCGAUUUGCAUGAAUCUGUGAGUCAUCUAAUCUUUGAACGCGAAUGGCACUGUUACGCAAGUGACAGUAUGUCUGUUUGAGAAUCGCAAAACAAGAUCAACUCUAGUUGAGAGUUGGGAUUGGUCUUAUGCAUAGGUAUGUAUUUGACUUUAAUUAAUCGAGCUGAUGAGCUUCCCAGUGCGGCUCAAUGUGUGCUAGCGAGACAGUCGUCCCGAUCUCACAUUAAUGUCGCAUUGCAGAGUUCUGUCCACAGCUCGCUAAAUUUAUCACCUCAUACGAUCUCAAAUCAGGCAAGAUUACCCGCUGAACUUAA
rnacentral:rRNA from 1 species